CAAUAAUAGGGUUUAAAUAGCUUUGAAAAAUAUCUUAGUAUUUGGAAAAUUUGUAAUAUGAAUUAUAGUAAGUAGGUCUGUUUUGCAUGAAGCAAGAAGAAUGCAGUCCUGUUUUAGAGCCCUGGUGAAGCACUUACUAAGACGAUGACUACAGCAAUGGUAAGUAUGAAACACAUUUCACUGUCCAGUGCUGGGUUAAAUGUACCAUAGGUCUGGAGAUGUAUGUACGGUGCUCUUCUAAAUGACGAUUGAUCACAGUAAACAUUAAUAGGUCAUGGGGAGCCAUUCUAAAUGGCAGUAUGGGUGAAAGCCAUGACCAUGUGAAACCUCUUUUUGUUCCACUACCAUGAGCUCUAUUCCUUCUCAGAGAACACUCAAGAUAUUCAGAAUUAAUCCCAGUCUAAACCCAUAAAGGCCCAUACCAUAUAAAGGCUUAUUUAUCCUCUGCCAUUUUCCCCUGGUUUUAAUCCCUGGCGAUUUGCAGAUGUAAAGCACAGACUGUGGCUCCUUAGGGUACAGACUGUGAUUAGGUCUAUCUCUGAGAACAGUCUGCAUUAAUCAGAGCUAUACUGCCAGGAAAUGAUCUAAUAUGCUGGUGGAUUCCAUUCAGAAUGCAGACCGCAAAAUUUCCACCAUCUUCUGAUCUCCAUACUGGACCCAUAGUGCUGCAGCAGCACUGCCUAAAGCCUACUCUCAUAAUGAUGAAGAAGAGGAGAUGUCCGUGUAUUGUCACAGACCUGACAGUUGCAGUGCAUUGAAACAUGAAUUACAGGUAGCAGCACUACAUUAUUAAUUACAGAAAUUGUUUUUUCUCUGGCUUUUUGGGGCCUAUUACUUAACAACGGUCCUAGAGCACAUGUCCAAAUACGCCUCUAUUCCUGUCCAAUGUAACGUCGUCAUCUCACGAGGCUCUGAACUCGCUUAAGUUCAGUCAGGUAUUACUUCUGCCAUGUUCAUGUGUGCGACCAGAGCCAAAUUAAAGUUCCCCAGGGCAGGGUUCCAGAUUGGGUCCUCCUCCUAGAGCCAUGGGCUCUGUUUCUGUGAGUGGUGUAUGAGAGUGUGUGUAGUGGCUCUGUGUUGUGUAUGGAUGAGGCUGAAUGCUGUAUGUGGGGGCUGAGUGUGUCUGUGUCUCUUGCAUUGUGUGCAUGUUUAUGUGUCUGAGUGUUCUUGUGUGUACAUGUGUGUACAUGUGUGUACAUGUGUGUAUCUGUGUCUGAGAGCAUUUGCGUGUUUGGUAGUUGUUUGCAUUGUUUUGUUUGCAAAGGGGGUUGCUUGUGGACCCGGUGUGCUUAUGGUGAUGCUGUGAUUCAUGUGUGGAAGGUGACUGUGCAUGAUGAUGACUAUAUUCAGGGUUGACUGAGAUAUGGUCAGUAGGGUGUGGCUGUGGCAGAAUGAAGGGGGUAAAUGUGAUAGGGAGCGGGGCAUGAUUGUGGCUAUGUUUGGGGGUGAGUGUGACAGGAUUUGAGGUUGGGGAGACUGUGACAGGGUUUGGGGGUAGGUUUGACAGGCUAUGUGGAAGAGUGUGGCAGGGUGAGGGAUGGUGAGUGUGCAACGAUUUAGAGGUGAGUGUUACAAGGUUAAUGUGGCAGUGUUAUAAGUGUGACAAUGUGAGUGACUGUGUCAUGCUGAGUGCAGGGUUGACAAGGUAUGGGAGCUGAGUUUGUGUAGAGGAGUUAAGUUAUAUUGGGAGGCUGUGUUGUACACACAUAGUAAUGCCUUUUAUUUUUUUUAUCACUUUUGCCCGCCUCCUGUGCAGUAAGGGUGGCAAUAAUACAUUCCCUGGUGGCAGAGGCGGCUUUGCAAGGCCUUUGCGAGGCCUUAGCCAAAACUCAAACAUUAGGCCCAUUAGCAUGUUUAUAAGAACCUGUAGAUAUAUUAAAUGGCAGGCUUGCAGUUUUGGAUCCAGAGACUCUGCAGGCCUGGACUGGCAAUCGGGCACACCGGGCAAAUGCCCGGUGGGCCGUGGUGGCCAGGGGACGAGGCCGGCCGGGGAGAUCAAAGUACUCCCUCACCGGCCCACAUGUAGUAUAUUGCGGCCACAUGUAAUAUAUUGGGAGAGAGGGAGACAGGAGGAACCCGGAGGAGCUCUAACUUGCAGCUCCGCCGGGGUCCUCUCGCGAGAUUCGGAGCAUUGCCAUGGCACCACCACUAGCACCACCAGGGAUGGAUAUAAGCAGCACGGCCCCCCCUCCCAGGCUAAAGGUAAGAACAGAGGGGGGAUAUAAUCACUCAUAGCACCCUCACUCACACACACACACACACCCUGCACCCCUGACACUCACAGCACCCUCACACACACACACACACACACACUCAAGCACCAACACACACACAAACACACACUCACAGCGCCCUUACUCACUCACACACACAUACACACACACUGCAUCUCUGACACUCACAGCACCCUCACUCACACAAACAAACACACUGUAACCCUGAAACUCACAGCACCCUCACUCUCACACACACAUACUGCACCCUAACACUCACAUAGCACCCUCACUCAAACACAGCACCAGCAGUCAAACACAGCACACACAUACUGCACCCUUGACACUCACAGCACCCUCACACACAAACACACACACACACACACACACUCAAGCACCCUCACACACUCACGGCACCAACACACACACUCACAGCACCCUCACACACACAUACACAGACACUGCACCCCUGACACUCACAGCACCCUCACUCACACAAUCACACACACAGCACCCCUGACACUCAUAGAACCUCACUCACACACACUGCACCCCUGACACUCACAGCACCCUCACUCACACACAUGCAUACACACUGCACCCCUGACACUCACAGCACCCUCACUCUCACACACACAUACUGCACCCUCACAUGCACAUAUCACCCUCACUCAAACACACCACCCUCACUCUCACACACACAUACUGCACCCUCACACUGCACCCCUGACACUCACAGCACCCUCACUCACACACAUGCAUACACACUGCAACCCUGACACUCACAGCACCCUCAGUCUCACACACACAUACUGCACCCUCACAUGCACAUAGCACCCUCACUCAAACGCAGCACCCAGCACUCAAACACAGCACACACAAACUGCACCCUCACACACAGCACCCUUACCCACACUCCCUGCACUUCUCUUGUGCACACACUACACCCCUAACACACACACAUCAUCCUAACACACACAGCACCCUUACUCACACACACACACUGCACCCCUGAUACUCACAGCACCUUCACACACACACACACACACACACUGCACCCCUGACACUCACAGCACUUUUACACACACAGACACUGCACCCUCACACACACACUGCACCCUCACACACUGCAUCCUUACCCACAUAGCACCCUCAUGCAAACACAGCACACAUCACUUACACACAGCACACACACACAUCACUCUCACACACACAAUGCACAAUACUCUCUCCUGGUAUUUUUGUCUCUUGGUAUCCCAUCUAUGGAGACACCAGAGACAAAUUUCAAGCAAACACAGUACAAGCAUGUUAUUAAAUUUGCUUGCGCUGUGCAGAACAAAUACAGGGUCCUUUUCUCAUGCUAGAGUUCUUCACACUCUGCCCUGGAAGAGCAUUGAACCAACAUGCUCACAUCGGUGAUGACAAAAAACACCCUAUGUGGCCCCACCCCUUUUUAGUGGGCCGCUGUAAUUAAAAAAUGCCCGGGCUGAAUUUUCUUCCCAGUCCGGCCUUGAGUCUCUGUAUUCAUCUUUAGAGGGUUGCAUUGUCGCAGCUCCCUAUGCCACUGCGUUGUGAGUUCUUUGACUGUAGUUAUGGCAUAAUAUGCAAGAAACAAAUUUAAUUUACAAUCAUGCUAAUCAUUUAUACACGAUUACUCGGUAUGGUUGUAUAGCCUGGCAGUCGUGUAUACAUAAGUGCCAGUGUAAAGGGGUUAUUGGUAACAAAAAUUAAAAUUUUGGUUUGGCUUUUAAAAAAUGUACCAUAUAAUAAAGUUACUGAUAAGAAAACAAUGUCAUAGACAUUUUCCCCUCAUUUGUAUGCAUAUAAUAUAUAUGUUGCUUCCAACUUUACCUUUGCAUUACCCAUACCAUACCACCUUCAAUUACAGACAUAGACAUACACACUAAUACAUGAACACAUAUAAACACUAAUACACAAACACAUAUAGACACUGAAACAAGCACAUACACCCCCCCCACACACACACACACAAAAACAAACACUGCUGCACAGAGACACAAAUAUUAACUAAAUGUGUAUUUAUCUGGCUGUGUGUAUUUGAGUGUGUCUCACUGUGUGUGUGCCCAAGAGUGUCUGACAGUGAGUGUUUUGUGUGUAUGUGCGGUGUUUUGUGUGUAUGUGGGUCUACCUGUGGCCUUUGUGCAUUUUGUUUAUGGCCAAGCUAUGUUUUAUGACUUUGUGUGUAUGAUGAUUGUCUUCAGGGGUGACUGUGACAAGGCAAAUGCCUUGUUUGCCUCGCGGCUAAAACGUCCCUAGGGCUGAGUGAGGGGUGACAGGGGGCUGAGUGAGGGGGUGACGGGUAGCUGAGUGAGGGAUGACAGCAGGGCCGCCACCACAAAUUUUGGGGCCCCUAACUCAGGGGGGCCCGCCACCAAAUACCUCCCACAGGAAUACACACACAGACACAAACACACACACUUAUACAAAAGGACACAGAUACAUACUAAAGUGAGUGUGUCAGGGUUAAGGGGGCAACAGUGUGUGUGGGAGUGUGGUGACAGUGUGGGGAGUGGUGACUGUGUGUGGAGGGGGUGACAGUGUUUGUGCAUGAAGGGGAAUGUCAGAGUGUGAAAUGGGCUGACAGAGUGCGAAAGGGUGGGAGAGUGUGAAAAGGUGGCGGAGUGUGGAAAGGGUGAGAGGUGGGAGGGAGGGGUUGACAGGUGGCUGAGUGAGGGAAGGAGGGGGUGACAGGUAGCUGAGUGAGGGGGUGACAGGGAGCUGAGUGAGGGAAGGAGGGGGUGACUGGGGGUUGAGUGAGGGGGUGACAGUUAGCUGAGUGAGAGGUGACAGGGGGCUGACAGACAGACAUACAGACAGACAUACAGACAUACAUACAGACAGACAUACAUAGACAUGCAUACAUACAUACAUACAGACAUACAUACAGACAGACAUAGACACACAUACAGACAGACAGACAAACAGACAUCCAGACAUACUAACAGACACACAUACUGAAACAGACAUACACGCAUACAGGCAUACAUACUGACACACACAUACUGAGACAUACACACAGGCAUACAUAGUGACAGACAGACACAUACUAACAUACAUACAGACACACAUGCAUGAGGACAUAAAGACACAUACAUACAUACAGACACCGACAUACAUACAUACACACAUACAUACAUACAUUCAUACAUACAGACAUACUGACAGACAUACAGACACUGACAUCCAUACACACAUACAUUCAUAAUGGCAUACAGACAUACACAGACAUACAUUCAUAAUGGCAUACAUACAUACAUACAUACAUACAUACUGUCACGUAUUCAUCCGCUUACAAAAAUGUGGUUAAUGACAUUUACUGUCCACACAGGAAAAGUUGUGCCGAGCAACAACCAAAUCCACAGAAGGGUUAAUGCUGAGCAGCAAUUAUGCAAAUGAGAUCUGUUAACUGCCUUUGGGGUCAAAGGCCGGUUACAGCCUAUCAGAUCUAGAGGAGGGGUAUUUAGGGCCAGUUCUCAUCCUGCUCACUGCCCUGUCGUGGUUUCCCUUGUGGUUGUCCGAGAGCGUGUUAUUGAUUCUGGUUAUUCAGGUUAUUUGACUUUGGCAUUGUUUUUGACUUCCAUGUUUUCUGGCAUCCCUGACUCCUGGCUUUUCCUUAUCGUUGUGUCUCUUUCUGUUUCCCUUGACCUCGGUAAUUCCUGACUAUUCUUUGGUACGUUAGUCCGGCCAUUCUAAGGUCCGGUAUACGUUACCUAUCAGUCCUCUGUGUUACACAGUUCUACAUGCUGGGUCAUUCUGUAAUCCUGACACAUACAUACAUUUAGACUGACAUACAUGCAUAUAUACAGACAUACUGACAGACAUACAUGGAUACAGACAUCCAUACACACAUAAUGAUAUGCAGAUAUACAUUCAUACUGACAUACAGACAUACAUAUAUAAUGACAUACAGACAUACAUAUAUACAUGCAUAGACAUACAUACAGACAGACAUACAUACAUACACAUACAUGCAUGCAUACAUACAGACAUACAUACAUACAUAAAGACAUACAUACAUACAUACAUGCACAUACAUACAGACAUACAUACAGACAGACAUAGACAUACAUGCCUGCAUACAUACAGACAUACAGACAUACAUGCACAUACAUACAGACAGACAUACAUAGACAUGCAUACAUACAUACAUACAUACAUACAUACAGACAUACUAACAGACACACAUACUGAAACAGACAUACACGCAUACAGGCAUACAUACUGACACACACAUACUGAGACAUACACACAGGCAUACAUAGUGACAGACAGACACAUACUAACACAUACUAACAUACAUACAGACACACAUGCAUGAGGACAUAAAGAAACAUACAUACAUACAUACACACAUACAUACAUACAUUCAUACACGUGGGGCCCGGGCGGCCAGGCCUCCCAGGGCCGCUGGGCCCCCUGAUGGCGGCCCUGGAUGACAGGGGGCAGAGUGAGGGAAGGAGGGAGUGACAGGGGGCAGAGUGAGGGGGUGAAAGGGAGCAGAGUAAGUGAAGGUGAUAGGGCUGAGUGGGGGGUGACAGAGGCAGAGUGGGGAAGGAGAGUGAGCCCAGGGGGCAGAGUGAGGGGUGAAAGGGGGCAGAGUAAGCGAAGGUGCUUUAGACCUGAGUGGGGGUAACAGGGGCAGAGUGAGGGUGCCACAGGGGCUGAGUGAGGGGGUUACAAGGGGCAGAAUGGGGAGGAGGUAACAGAGGGGCUGAGUAAGAAGAGGGGGACAUGGGGCAGAGUGAGGGGAGUGACAGGGGGCUCAGUGAGGGUGAUGGGCAAAGUGAGGGUACAGGAGGAGGGGUAACAGGGGGGCUGAGUGAGGGUGACAGGUAGCUGAGUGAGGGGGUGAUUGAGAGUGAGGGGUAACAGGGGGCAGAGUGAGGGAAGGAGGGGGUGACAGGGGCUGAAUGGGGGUGACAGGGGCAGAGUGAGGGGGUGACAGGGUUCAGAGUGAGGAUGUGAGAGGGGGAAAAGUGUGGGAAGGAAGGGGUGACAGGGGGUAAAGAAGAUAGGUAUUAGAAAUAUGUUUAUUUCCAAGGUGGUCGAGUCUCCUGGCUCCCUGGUGGUCCAGUGGCCUUCCUGUCCGGUCUGCGGGUGUGAGCUGCAGACCACGUGAUAGGAGUCUCGCGAUCUCCAGAAGCCAGAGCGUUGCUGUGGAAACCCGCGCCAAUGCUCUGAUUGGCUGGGGAUUGCGAGACACUUCAGUCUGUAGCUCACACCUGGCAGAGCUGCAGACUGAAGGCUGGCUCUCACGGCAGACUGGAGGGGCCUCACACCCAGCGGCACACAGGGCAAGCCGCCUGGCCCCCUCCCGAUGUCGGGCCUUUGGUCAUGGACAGAGGGUCUGACAAGUCACUCUGCUGUAAGGUGAUUUAGGCGGCCGCGAGGCCCCAGUCAGCGCAAGGCCUUAGACGGCCAUCUAAAUUGCCUAAUUAGAGAGCCGCGCACCUCUGCCUGGUGGUCCAAUACUUUUCCUGGUGGUCUGGUGGGCUCCCUGUACAGCUGCAGGCCUUCUGUUCUGGCACUCUGUUAGGAAGUCAGAGAAGAGACUUGGAAUCCAGGCGCAUGCGCUCUGACUUCAUCACAGUGUCUCCCAACCAUGAGGAACCAUAAUUAGACCAUGGACCACCAAGUAAUUAUUUCUAAAGGGCUGUGCGGGGAGAUCUCUUGAUUUUCCAAUAAGCUCAGCGGGGUGGGGCCCUCUCAGAGCCAGAGCUAUAGUUUCAGACAGGAGCCCAGUGCCUAGGCGGGCACUUCGGUUGAUUUAUGGGUAAUCCAGCUCUGUAUCCGACAUCAUAGUGUUCGUGCAUUCUGCAUUAGGUGUUAAAGGAUAUUAUGUAAUAUGUUCUAGCUGUGCCGGUGUUCUAUCAGUUUGGUAUACCCCGUCAGAUUGCUAUACCCACGUCACUUCCGGGGAGGGGAAUCAGCUGUCUCCUGUGCUGCACAUGCGUGCUACUCCUCCACAGCAAGGUCCUGGAAGGUAAGUAAAACUAGUUUUACACUUUCAUUAUAGUUAGUGCAUUCACUAAGCUUAGGACAUGGGGCAUUUAGGGUUAAUGUUAGGGUUCAAAUUAGGGUUAGGAUUAGGGAAUUGUUCAUAUUUAGUGAUAUUUCACAUUAGGGGAAUAUCACUAAAUAGUGAUUUCUCACACUUUAUUUUAACCCUUACCCCAAUGGUUAGGGUAAGAAUAGAGUGUGAGAGCGGUUAGAAGCACUUACCUAACCCUAAUUUGUACCCUCACUUAACCCUAAAUGUCCCGUGUGCCUAAGCUUAGUGAAUGCACUAACUAUAAUGAAAGUGUAAAACUAGUUUUACUUACCUUCCAGGACAUUGCUGUGGAGGAGUAGCAGGAGUGCUAGCACGCAUGUGCAGCACAGGAGACAGCUGAUUCCCCUCCCCGGAAGUGACGUGGGUAUAGCAAUCUGACGGAGUAUACCAGACUGAUAGAACACCGGGAUAAAAUGUCAUAUGACAUGAAUAAAAAAAAUACAUUGAAAAUAAAUAAAUAAAAAUAGUGCAACCAACAGUUAACUUUUAGUUAUCAGGUUGGGCAGAAAAUAACCCCAAUAUAACAGUUUUGCAAAUUAUGUUCUAUUGUUUAAUUUUUUUCUAUUAAAAAUAGUUAGCUAUCCCUUAAUCAAAAGGUGUCUAUUAAUUAAACACUGAUUUGUAAUUAAUAGAAAGUAGAUUUUUUUUAAAAUUUGGGCUAAAAUCCCCAAGGUGUCAAUACACAGUUGCAAGAAAAAGUAUGUGAACCCUUUGGAAUGAUAUGGAUUACUGCACAAAUUGGUCAUAAAAUGUGAUCUGAUCAUCAUCUAAGUCACAACAAUAGACAAUCACAGUCUGCUUAAACUAAUAACACACAAAGAAUGAAAUGUUGCCAUGUUUUUAUUGAACACACCAUGUAAAUAUUCACAGUACAGGUGGAAAAAGUAUGUGAACCCUUGGAUUUAAUAACUGGUUGAAAAUCCUUUAGCAGCAAUAACUUCAGCCAAACGUUUCCUGUAGUUGCAGAUCAGACGUGCACAAUGGUCAGGAGUAAUUCUUGAUCAUUCCUCUUUACAGAACUGUUUCAGUUCAGCAAUAUUCUUGGGAUGUCUGGUGUGAAUCGCUUUCUUGAGGUCAUGCCACAGCAUCUCAAUCGGGUUGAGGUCAGGACUCUGACUGGGCCACUUCAGAAGGCAUAUUUUCUUCUGUUUAAGCCAUUCUGUUGUUGAUUUACUUCUAUGCUUUGGGCAGGGGCGGACUGAGACCCCCGGGCAAAAUAAAUCAAGGGCCCCCUUACAGGCCCCACCCAUACUCCUCAGCAAGCACCACCCUUGUCCCGCCUCCAUGCACCGCCUCCAGCCACACCCUACACAAUCUUUAGACACAAGGAACAAAAGUGCAAUAAUCCCUUUGAGGCCCCAGUAGAGACUACAAUUGAGGGCUAAUGGGCCAUGGAGGAGGGUCUUUCUAGCAGAGGCUAUCUCAGUGUCCUUUAGAGAGUGUGUUAGAAAGAAUCCCCUCCAAGCCCCAUUAGAGACUACAAUGGAGUCUAAUAGGCUUGGAAGGGGGUCUUUCUAACAGAGGCCAUCUCAUCGUCCAUUAGAUAGCCCCUGCUGGAAACAGUUGCCUCCAGUAGAGACUACAAUUGAGGGCUAAUGGGCCAUGGAGGGGGGGGGGGUCAUUCUAGCAGAGGCUAUCUCAGUGUCCUUUAGAGAGUGUGUUAUAAAGAAUCUCCUCCAGGCCCCAUUAGAGGUUACAAUGGAGUCUAAUGGGGCCUGGAGGGGGGUCUCUCCAACACUCUGUUUCCUAUUCACAAUAUAGCAACACAACAUAGCUGAUACCUAGGCCAAGUUGGCUCCUCUUACCUUAAUUACUGUUGCUGGCUGACAGGCUGUGGGCUUGCUGGCUGCGGCUGGCAGGCUGUGGGCUUGCUGGCUGCGGCUGGCAGGCUGUGGGCUUGCUGGCUGCGGCUGGCAGGCUGUGGGCUUGCUGGCUACUGCUGGCAGGCUGUGGGCUUGCUGGCUGCGACUGGCAGGCUGUGGGCUUGUUGGCUGUAAGCCUGUGGCUUGCUGUAGGCCUGUGGGCUGACUACUGGCCUGGCUGGCCUGUGGGCUGGCUAACUGGUGGCUUGUGGGCUGCCUGUGGGUUGGCUGGCUGGCCGGCCUGUGGGCUGGCUGGCUACUGGGGCACUUGUAGAUCAUUUAAAGAAAUAGUCCAUGCACAAUAACCACUACUGAUCUGUGUAGUGGUUAUGGUGCCAGGAGGGCCGGGCCCCCCUCCCAGAGUAAGUAGUCAAACCGUUUAAGAACAGUUUGACAACUUACCUGGGGUCUGCUGGGAUAUGGGGCUGUAGUAGGGUAUAGGAGCAGUGGUGGAAUGUGUGAAGGGUGCAGUGUGUGUGGGGGUGUAGUGUGUGAAUGUGUAGGGUGUGUGGGGCAAUGUGUGUAUGAGGGAGCUGUGUAUGUGUGUGGCAAUGUUAGUAUGGGGGGCUGUGUAUGGGGGUCUGUGUGUAUAUGGGUGGGCAGUGUAUGUGUGUGUGUGAGGCAAUGUGUGUAAAUGUGUAUGGUGUAUGUGGGGGCAGUGUGUGAAUGUGUAUGGUGUGUGGGGGCAGUGUGUGAAUGUGUAUGGUGUGUGUGGGGGGGCAGUGUGUUUAUGGUAUACAUACAUAAACAAGAUGGAGCUUCUUAAAAUGGCAAUAUAACAGAUAUUCUGUAAAAUAAAAUAUAAACCAUAGUGCAAUACAGUAGUAUAAAUAGAAUUAAAGGUAUACACAGUAGAUUUUUCACUCACAAGCCUGGAGUCAUAAUCUCAUAUUGUCAGGAUAGAGACAGGGAUCCAAUACGCAGAGUGCGGACAGAAGGAGGUACGUAUACCGGACCUUAGAAUGGCCGGACUAACGUAUGGACAAAACAAGAAUAGUCAAAAGGUAAGCCGAGGUCGAGGGAGCCGGAGGACAGGUAAGCGAGGGACAAGCCGGGUCAAAGGAGAGGAGAGGACAACAGGACAAAGGUACAAGCAAGNNNNNNNNNNNNNNNNNNNNNNNNNNNNNNNNNNNNNNNNNNNNNNNNNNNNNNNNNNNNNNNNNNNNNNNNNNNNNNNNNNNNNNNNNNNNNNNNNNNNACAAUAGCUAAUUAACCAGCAAUCAACAGCAAGUAACUAGCUUAAUCAAAUCAAAUGCCUUAUAAUUACCAACAGGAAUUCAAACCUUGUGCAAUCAAGUCACAGGCAGACACGUGGCAAAUCAUAUGGGUGGGGCAUUGUGAUGUCACAUGGGGGGGGCGGCAAACUUUACUUUUGCCUAGGGCGGCAAAAAUCCUUGCACUGGCCCUGGCUGGAGGGGGCUGUGUGAGCUGUGGCCGCACAGUGUCCCAUGGUAGUUAGGGUGCCGUGCGGCCAGUACAGCUCACACAAGCAAACAGCUGAUAAACUGGCCGCACGGAGGAAAUGUGUAUGUGUGACUGUCUGCCUGUGACUGUGUGUGACUGUCUGCCUGUAACUGAGCGUGUGACUGUCUGUCUGUAACUGAGUGUGUGACUGUCUGCCUGUAAAUGUGUGUGUGGGGCUGCAGGGAUUUUGUAGAAGGGGCGGGGUUUUGUAUUGGGACAGGAGUCUUUAUAAAUUGUAAAAGAGAGAACCUUAAAAAUUUUACAGGUUUUUUUCGGGAAGGGGGUGCCAAGCACAGGAUCCGCCCCGGGUGCCAAAUGCUCUAGGUACGCCCCUGAAGCAAGGUCAAAACCGAAAACACUAAGAGAGAGAACGCGCUGAGUGACUAGCAAGCUAGAACCACGACAGGGCAAUGAGCAGUAGUAAAAGUUCCCUUAAAUACCCUGUCACCUUAAUUGAGACCACGCCCCCAAAAGGUCCGGAAUUGCGGUUCCCGGCACUUCACGUAAAUGAUGACGUCAUGACGUCGACGCUAGCCGUCGCGUCAUAAGAGGGGGAGGAGUUAGCGCGGCCGGCGCGAAAACGGCCGGAAUUUGCCGAAAUGCUAGGGGAGGGGAGCCCCUAAGAAGAAAGGAUGUCCUCCUCGGAGGCAACACUAACAGGUAACCUGACAGUACCCCCCCUUCUAGAAACGCCCACCGGGCGGAUGGGACCGGGCUUAGAAGGGAAACGAACGUGGAAGGCCCGAAGAAGACGAGGAGCAUGCACGUCUUCACAAGGAACCCAAGACCUCUCUUCUGGACCAUAACCCUUCCAGUCAAUGAGGUAUUGCAACUUCCCCCUAGAAAUACUAGAAUCAAGAAUGGACCUAACGAUAUAUUCUUCCUGACCAUCCACACGGACCGAAGAUGGAGGAGCAGAGCGGGAGGAAAACCUGUUACAAACGAGAGGUUUCAAUAAAGACACAUGAAAAGAGUUAGGGAUGCGUAGAGUAGGAGGCAGGUCCAGCAAAUAAGAAACCGGGUUGAUCCUCCUCAACACCCUGUAAGGACCUAUGUAACGAGGAGCAAACUUCAAAGAAGGGACUUUCAAGCGAAUGUGUCUGGUACUCAACCAGACCCUAUCAUCCGGAGAAAAAACAGGAGCGGGCCGUCUACGCCUAUCAGCAUGCAUCUUAAACACCGCGGAACUACGCGUAAGAAUUUGUCGAGUCUGAUCCCACAACUUUCUCAGGUUGGCUAUAUGAACAUCAACCGACGAUAAACCCUGGGAAGGAGACACCGACGGAAGAAUAGUAGGGUUAAAGCCAUAGUUCAAGAAAAAGGGGCUAUUACGAGUGGAACCACAAACAAGAUUGUUGUGAGCAAACUCCGCCCAAGGAAUCAGACCGACCCAAUCGUCCUGGUGUUCAGAAACAAAACAACGUAGAUAUUGCUCAAUUUUCUGGUUAGUGCGUUCGGCUGCUCCGUUAGAUUGAGGAUGAUAGGCCGAAGAAAAAUUCAGCUUGAUGCCCAACUGGGAACAGAAGGAUCUCCAAAAACGGGAAAUAAACUGGGACCCCCUGUCAGACACAAUCUCAUUGGGAAUACCAUGCAAACGAAAAAUCUCCCUAGCAAAUAUCACGGCCAAUUCGGGAGAUGACGGAAGUUUAGGCAAGGGGAUGAAAUGAGCCAUUUUGGUAAACCUGUCAAGAACCGUGAGGAUAACAGUGUGUCUAUUGGAAACCGGCAAAUCAACAAUAAAAUCCAUAGCCAAGCUAGCCCAAGGUUUGUUGGAAACGACUAAAGGCUGCAAUAGACCAUAAGGAAGAUCCCGUGGUAGUUUAUUCCUGACACAAAUAUCGCAAGCCUUGACAAAGUCCUCCACAUCCCUCCGUAAACUGGGCCACCAGAAGUCUUUGGAAAUCAGGCAGCAAGUUUUGUGGAUGCCGGGGUGACCAGCAAAUUUGCUAUUGUGAAAACAACGAAUAAUGUCUACUUGGAAUUUGGGAGACACGAACAAGCGGCCCACAGGAGUACGCUCGGGAGCAAGAGAUUGUUCGUUCAUUAUAUCUACGAGUAAUGGAGAGUGUAUUUUGACAUUGGUGUUGGCGAUAAUGUUGAUUUCAGGAACAAUAGGGGACAAAGUGUCUUCUGUAGUGGUGAUAGGUUCGUGCUGAUGAGACAAUGCGUCUGCCUUGGUGUUUUUAGAACCAGGCCUGUAAGUAAGUAUAUAAUUGAAAUGUGUAAGGAACAUAGACCAACGUGCUUGUCUGGCAGAUAAUCUUUUGGCCUCCCCCAUAUAAGAUAAAUUUUUGUGAUCAGUCAAGAUAGUAACUGGGAGAACAGUGCCCUCUAACAGAUGUCUCCAUUCCUUUAAUGCCAUAAUAAUAGCUAAGAGUUCUCUGUCACCAAUAUCAUAUCUCCUUUCAAUGUGUGAUAAUUUCUUGGAAAAAAAAACGCAAGGGUGCAACGGCUUAUCUAAACCUUGUCUUUGGGACAAUACUGCGCCUAUCCCUGUUUCAGACGCAUCAACUUCAAGCAAAAAGGGUAGAGAGGUAUCAGGAUGAACUAAUACAGGUGCUGAGGCAAAAGUCUGUUUGAGCGUUUCGAAAGCAGAUAAUGCCUCAGUAGACCAUGUUUUAGUAUCGGCUCCUUGUUUAGUCAUAUUAGUGAUAGGAGCGAUAACAGAGGAGUACCCUUUAAUUAUUAUUAUUAUUAUUAUUGCCAUUUAUAUAGCGCCAACGGAUUCCGUAGCGCUUUACAAUAUUUUGAGAGGGGGGUGUAACAAUAAAUAGGACAAUUACAAGAAAACUUACAGGAACAAUAGGUUGAAGAGGACCCUGCUCAAACGAGCUUACAGACUAUUGGAGGUGGGGUGUUUGAAACAUUAGGACAAUAAAUAUCAAGUAGGAGUGAAGCAGAGCUGGAGGAGAGAGCAAAGCACUGUCCCAUAGGAGAGAGCAGGAGACAGGUAUGUAAGGUAGAGAUUACUCUGGGAGGCCAUAAGCUUUCCUGAAGAGAUGGGUUUUAAGGCCCUUCUUAAAUGAUUGAAGACUAGGGGAGAGUCUGAUGGCAGUAGGCAAGCUAUUCCAUAGGAGAGGAGCCGCCCGCGAGAGGUCCUGCAAGCGCGAGUUGGCCGUACGGGUGCGAGCAGCGGUCAGGAGGUGGUCACGGGCAGAGCGGAGGGUACGUGGAGGGGCAUAUUUAUGGAUCAGUGAAGAGAUAUAAGCGGGGCUAGAACUGUUCAGUGCUUUAAAUGUAUGGGUUAGCACUUUGAAUUGACUCCUAUAGCAUACAGGGAGCCAAUGUAAGGACCGGCAGAGGGGUGAGGUGUGAGAGGACCGACUAGAGAGGAAAAUCAGUCUAGCUGCAGCAUUCAUUACAGACUGUAGCGGGGCAAUACGGCUUUUGGGGAGACCAAUCAGGAGAGGGUUACAGUAAUCCAUGCGGGAAAUUACUAGAGCAUGGACAAGCUCCUUGGUAGCAUCUUGCGUAAGAAAGGGGCGAAUGCGGGCUAUGUUUUUGAGUUGGAACCUACAGGACUUGGCAACAAACUGGAUGUGAGACUCAAAGGUGAGACCAGAGUCAAGUAUGACGCCAAGACAGCGCGCUUGCAGGGAUGGACUUAUGUGGAUAUCACUGACUUGAAGGGAGAGCGAGAGAGGAGGAUCAGUAUUAGGAGGAGGAAAGACAAGGAGUUCAGUUUUAGAGAGGUUAAGUUUCAGAAAGCGUGAAGACAUCCAGUCAGAGAUGGAAGAAAGGCAAGCAGUGACACGUUGCAGGACAGCAGGGGAGAGGUCCGGGGAGGAGAGGUAUAUCUGAGUGUCAUCAGCGUACAGGUGGUAGUGGAAUCCAAAAGAGGCAAUCAGUUUACCAAGAGAGGCGGUAUAAAGAGAAAAUAGAAGGGGACCAAGGACAGACCCUUGGGGAACUCCAACCGAGACAGGACGAGUGGAGGAGGUAUCCUUGGAAAAGGAGACACUGAAUGAGCGUUGGGAGAGAUAGGAGGAAAACCAAGAGAGGACUGAGUCACAGAGACCGAGCGAUUGAAGAGUUUGAAGGAGGAGAGCAUGAUCAACGGUGUCAAAGGCAGCAGAGAGGUCAAGGAGAAUUAAUAUGGAGUAAUGACCUUUGGAUUUAGCGGAGAUUAGGUCAUUAGUCACUUUGAUAAGAGCAGUCUCAGUAGAGUGGAGAGGGCGGAAGCCAGACUGAAGAGGGUCAAGGAGAGAGUUGGAAUUAAGGAAGCGGGACACACGGGUAAAGACAAGCCUUCCAAAAGCUUUGAUGAGAAAGGGAGCAGGGAUAUGGGACGAUAGUUAGAAGGGGAGGAUGGGUCAAGAGAUGGUUUUUUCAGGAUAGGUAUUACAGUGGCAUGUUUAAGGUCAGCAGGAACAGUGCCAGAAGAGAGAGAGCAGUUAAAGAUGUGUGUUAGGGUAGGCACAAGACAAGGGGAGAGAGAUCUGAUGAGGUGAGAUGGGACAGGAUCGAGCGGGCAAGUGGUGGGGCGAGAGGAAUGGAGAAGCGCAGCCACCUCUUGUUCAGUAGCCGGGUAGAAAGUCUGGAGGGUAGGGAAAGCAAGAUUUACAUGUGGUUGAGAAAGAGAACGGCAAGGAGGGGAGAAUUGUUUCCUUAGCUGUUCAAUCUUGUCGGUAAAGUAGCAUGCAAAGCUAUCAGCUGUAAGGUUAGUUUGGGGGGUGGCCACAGCAGGGCGGAGAAGGGAAUUAAAGGUGUCAAAGAGGCGUCUGGGAUUGCGGGAGCAUGAACUAAUGAGAGAGGAAAAGUAUGACUGUUUGGCGAGGGCGAGGGCUGCGCUGUAUGAAAGCAACAUGAAUCUAUAAUGGAGAAAGUCUGCCUGGGUGCGGGACUUCCUCCAGGAGCGUUCAGCACAACGGGAGCAACUCUGCAGAUAGCGUGUUGAUUUAUUAUGCCAAGGUUGGGGUCGUGUCCUCCUCGAGGUGCAUGUUUUGAGUGGGGCUGCAGCGUUCAAGGCAGAUGUGAGGGUAGUGUUAUAUGUGGAGAUGGCCAGUGAGGGACAGGAGAGGGAAGGGAUGGAUAGCAGUUGUGAAUCAAUGUCAGCUGACAGCUGCUUGAGGUCAAUAGAGUUAAGGUUCCUCCUGAGCUGAGGGGGGUUAGGCUGAGAUUGUUGGGUGAGGGGGUAAUUGAGAGCAAAUGAUAAGAGGUGGUGAUCAGAGAGAGGAAAUGGGGUGUUGCAGAUAUUAGAUAUUGUACAUGAAGAAGAGAAAAUAAGGUCGAGGGUAUUGCCAGCUACAUGAGUGGGAGAAUUAGCCCACUGCAAAAGUCCAAGGGAGGAAGUGAUUGAAAGUAGUUUAGAGGCUGCUGGGGUCAAAGGUGGGUUAACGGGAAUAUUGAAGUCUCCAAGAAUUAGGGAUGGGAUGUUGGAAGAGAGGAAGUAGGGUAGCCAGGCAGCAAAGUGGUCAAGGAAGAGGAGAGGGGAACCAGGGGGACGAUAGAUUACGGCAAUGUUAGCAGAGAAGGGUUUGAAAAGGCGAAUUGAAUGAAUUUCAAAUGAUGGGAAAGAGAGGGAAGGGGGGGUAGACAGGGUUUUAAAGGUGCAGUGGGGUGAGAGAAGAAAACCUACACCGCCACCUUUAAUCUCUGCUUGUCUUGGGUUGUGGGUAAAGUGAAGACCACCAAAAGACAGUGAGGCAGGUGUAGCAGUAUCAGAGGGAGAGAGCCAUGUUUCUGUUAGUGCAAGUAUGUUUAGGGAGUGUGAGAUAAAUAGGUCAUGGAUGGAAGUAGAUUUAAAGGUGCUGCACACAGAGCGUGCAUUCCAGAGGGCAGCUUUAAAAGAGGAAUUAUAGUGAGAAUUACAUGGAAUGGGUAUUAGGUUGUUGUGGUUUCUGGUGUUUGUACCAGGUGGCUGAGAAGAGGAGGGACCAGGGUUUGGAGAGACAUCACCUGCUGCUAGGAGUAGUAGGAUGGAAACGUCUGUAAUAAUUAGAAAAUCCGAGAAAUCUUUGUAUGGCUUUGAGUCCCUUGGGUAAAGGCCAAUCUAAAAUCGAUUUUAGUUUGAUCGGGUCCAUCAUAAACCCGUCUUUGGAAAUUACGUAACCUAAGAAAGUUACCUGAGACUGAUCAAAGCUACAUUUCUCCAAUUUACAAUACAAUCCAUGUUGUAAAAGUUUCUGUAAUACCCUUCUGACUUGUCUGUGAUGUGAGUCAAUGUCCCUAGAAUGUAUUAGUAUAUCAUCCAAAUAUACAAUCACACAUUCGUGUUGAAAUUCUCGAAGGACCUCAUUAAUCAAGUCUUGGAAGACGGCCGGGGCAUUGCAUAGCCCAAACGGCAUUACGGUAUACUCAUAAUGUCCGUAACGGGUAUUAAAUGCUGUCAUCCAUUCAUCUCCUUGUUUAAUUCUCACCAAGUUAUAUGCUCCUCUCAAGUCAAGUUUGGUAAAAAUACUCGAGCCCUUUAGUCUGUCAAAGAGUUCAGUAAUCAAAGGAAUGGGGUAAGCAUUCCUGACGGUAAUUUUGUUCAAUCCCCGAUAGUCUAUGCAAGGACGUAAGGUACCGUCUUUCUUUUCUACAAAAAAGAAACCCGCCCCCGCCGGAGAAGAAGAUUUUCUAAUAAAUCCUUUGUCUAGAUUCUCCUUGAUGUAUUCCUCUAAAACUAAAUUUUCUUUGGUGGACAGAGGGUAUACCGUACCUCUAGGAGGCAUAGUACCAGGAAAAAGUUUAAUAGAACAGUCAUAAGACCUGUGGGGAGGUAAAGUAUCCGCCCUACUCUUAUCAAAUACAGACUUGAGAUCUAGAUACUGUGAUGGUAUCUGAACGUCUGUGGAUUGGGAAGAGUUGGUAUAAGAGUUUACUGGGCAAACAGAAGUGACUCUCUGCAGACAUUUUUCUCUACAACCAAUUCCCCAAGAAACGAUUUCUCCACCCUCCCAGUCUAUCUGAGGGUUGUGUCUCUUGAGCCAAGAGUAUCCUAGCACCACUGGGACUGCCGGGGAGGAAAUUAACAGGAGGGAAAUCAUCUCCUCGUGGAAGAUGCCAACAGUAAGUUUAACGGGUUUAGUCUCAUGGAAUAUUACUGGUUCAGAUAAAGGUCUACCAUCUAUGGCCUCAACGGCCAAGGGUGUAUCUCUCAGUUGGAAUGGGAGACAAUGCUUAUUAGCGAAAGUUUGGUCUAUAAAGCUUUCUACCGCUCCAGAAUCUAAUAACGCCAUCGUAGAUAUAGUACCACUUUUCCAAGCUAGAGAGACAGGAAUCAGAAGCCUAUGGUCUUUAUUAUUAUGCAUAGAGGACAGUAACGAAACACCCAAGACCCGUCCUCUAGGGGAACUUAGGUGCGAGCGUUUCCCGGGCGAUUAGGGCAACUAAGACGUAGGUGACCUCUCCGCCCGCAGUAUAAACAGAGACCCUCCCUUCUUCUGUACUGUCUCUCGGCCUCAGAUAAGCGAGUAUUACCUAUUUGCAUAGGUUCUGGUGGAGUAGGAUUAUAGGAGUCAGGGUUCUGGAAUGAGGGAGCAAGUCUUACCGGAGGUCUACUAACCCUUUCCCGAGUAUUCUGCCUCUGUCUCAUGCGUUCAUCUACUCUGGAAAUGAAAGACACUAAAUCUUCUAAAUUUUCCAGAAGUUCUCUUGUGGCAAUCUCAUCUAGAAUCUCAUCAGACAACCCAUUCAGGAAUACAUCCAUAAAAGCUUGUUCGUUCCAUUUCACCUCUGCUGCCAAUGAUCUAAACUCUAAAGCAUAUUCUACAAGGGUUCUAUUCUGUUGUUUAAGGCGUAACAGAGAUCUGAUUGAAAGACAGACCUAAUAGUUCAGGGAAAACAGGACGCCCCCUGGUGAAUACUUAUAUAUAUAUAUAUACAAAAGAGGUAAAACAUAACCUUUAAUUGUUGCUGUAAUAAAAAUACUCUAGCAAAAAGCUUAGAAAGAAUAUAUACAAAUGUUUAAAAUUGGGAGGAUAUAUGCCUGGAAGGGGAUAAUAAUCCUGAGGGAAUCACCUAAAGGAUCUCAAGCUGAAUAGAGCUGAAAAUCCCCCCAACCAGUAAAGUACAUCUCUUAGUGAUGGUACCUCUAAAACUUGCCUAGAUAAAGAGAGACAAUUCCUCUAUGCUUGCUAGAUAGACUCUUAUCCAAAAGUCUCUUAUACCACUAACUGAAAUAAAAUCCAAUAGGGUAAGAAAGUAGCAACUAUAUAAAUCCUUGUGAACAGAUUGUAGCAAGAAAUAGUAGAAAAGGUCCAUUAACUGUGUGAUCAUCCACUAGUCUGAAUACGGUAACUAGAUAGAUACAGUGUGAUAAGUAUCAUAGCAAUAUUGUACGCCUGUUACUGAGGGAUGGAGGAAUGGGGGAAAAGAAGGCAGCUAUAUUCAAGUCAGUAGUACUGGAAGAAGCUAUCACAUAAUAAGCUUAACAGAGUCUUGUAGAAACAGUAGAAACACAUCCUCUGCUGGGAAUUGUGGGAACCGCAGGGAGCAUGACAGAGAGACAUGCUCCUCCUCCUUCCGUCCUCAGCGUUAGUGAGAGGACAGGAGUGCCGCCGGACCGGCGAGGCUGCCACCCGGCCCGGCGGCUCCAGCAUGAAACGCGGCCGGACACCUCAGUCCCCAGAUGCCACCCCCAAUCCAGCCCUGCAGCCGGGCCCCCUGAUGGCGGCCCUGGCGGCGGGCCCCCCUCCCGGCAGGGCCCUCGGACCAUGUCCGAAGUGCCCAACCGGUCAGUCCGCCCCUGGCUUUGGGUCAUUGUCCUGUUGCAACACCCAUCUUCUGUUGAGCUUCAGCUGGUAGACAGAUGGCCUUAAGUUCUCCUGCAAAAUGUCUUGAUAAACUUUGGAAUUCAUUUUUCCUUCGAUGAUAGCAAUCCGUCCAGGCCCUGAUGCAGCAAAGCAGCCCCUAACCAUGAUGCCCCCACCACCAUACUUCACAGUUGGGAUGAGGUUUUGAUGUUGGUAUGCUGUGCCUUUGUUUCGCCACACAUAGUGUUGUGUGUUUCUUCCAAACAACUCAACUUUGGUUUUAUCUAUCCACAGAAUAUUUUGCCAGUACUGCUGUGGAACAUCCAGGUGCUCUUGUGCAAACUGUAAACGUGCAGCAAUGUUUUGUUUGGACAGCAGUGGCUUCCUCUGUGGUAUCCUCCAAUUAAAUCCAUUCUUGUUUAGUGUUUUACGUAUUGUAGAUUCGCUAACAGGGAUGUUAGCAUUUGCCAGUGACUUUUGUAAGUCUUUAGCUGACACUCUAGGAUUCUUCUUCACCUCAUUGAGCAGUCUGCGCUGUGCUCUUGCAGUCAUCUUUACAGGACGGCCACUCCUAGGGAGAGUAGCAGCAGUGCUGAACUUUCUCCAUUUAUAGACAAUUUGUCUUACCGUGGACUGAUGAACAGCAAGGCUUUUGGAGAUACUUUUAUAACCAUUUCCAGCUUUAUGCAAGUCAACAAUUCUUAAUCGUAGGUCUUCUGAGAGCUCUUUUGUGCGAGGCAUCAUUCACAUCAGGCAAUGCUUCUUGUGAAAAGCAAACCCAGAACUGGUGUGUGUUUUUUAUAGGGCAGGGCAGCUGUAACCAACACCUCCAAUCUCAUCUCAUUGAUUGGACUUCAGUUGGCUGACAUCUCACUCCAAUUAGCUCUUGGAGAUGUCAUUAGUCUAGGGGUUAACAUACUUUUCCCCCCUGCACUGUGAAUGUUUACAUGGUGUGUUCAAUAAAAACAUGGCUACAUUUCAUUCUUUGUGUGUUAUUAGUUUAAGCAGACUGUGAUUGUCUAUUGUUGUGACUUAGAUGAUGAUCAGAUCACAUUUUAUGACCAAUUUGUGCAGAAAUCCAUAUCAUUACAAAGGGUUCACAUACUUUUUCUUGCAACUGUAGCUAUGGUAGCGAUUUUCUUUCCAUAUCAGUUGUUGCCUUCAUUUUUAAAAUUUGGCUUUCGGUUCAGUACAAUUUAUCCUAUAGCAGCACAGAAAACAAGUAAAUAGUAACUGGCUUUUUCUAUUUUUAAAACAAAAUAAAAAACAUAUGAAUAAAUAUAUAAAUAAAACACACCUCGUAAACUAUAAAUAGUCUUAAAGGAAGGAGAUAAACUGCUAGAGGCCUGCACUGUUCUGGUUUCAGUUACUUUGUCACCAAAAAUGUAUCAUUUGCUACAAAUGUGUGAGGUCAGAAAGCAGCAAAUUUAUCAAGUCUCCCCCUCUCUUAUAAUCUUAGGAUUGUCUCUGUCUAGCGACUAUGUGAUAAUCUAUGGAAGAAAUAGUGUUAUAUUUCUUAGUGAAUGGAGGGGGAGAGUCUGUCACAUGAAUAAACUGGGUUAGUACCGGUAAAUUAUAGCUUCCAAGAGACCCAUUAUCCCACAGAUAUAUCUUUCCAUUUGCCCUAUUAUGUAAUGUAGAAUAAUUGACUCAUGUCAUGUUGGGCUUUCUAGUGAUAUUUUCAUUAUCUUUGGGCUCCAAAGGAAUAUCUAUCAUUAAAGCAACAUAGAAAUGACAGCAUGGGCUGCUGACCUCAAUAGGACCCUCUUUGGGCUGCACAGAUAAAAUAUUUAAAAUGCAAAGUGGGGCCCAUACUUAUUCCUGGCCUGCUUGCAAUAACAUUUCUGUUUCAUUUAUCUUUUUGUUCUUAUCAGUCUUUGUAGAAAUUUCUAAAUAUAUAUGAGGUCUUGAAAUGACACUAAUGUAGUUCUAUGCUAUGUGCCUUUAAACAUAGAAUAAUGCCUGAUAUGCCAUUACUUAUGAAAGGGCAAUUGUUUAUUUACUUACCAAAUAAACUGGGCUAUAACUGCUAUUAAUGCCCUUUGUACAACGCUACGGAAUCUGAUGGCGCUAUAUAAAUAAUAAAAUAAUAAUAAAAUAAUAAUUAAUAAAGUAUACUUUCCUUUUAAAGGAGCAGCUACGACCGGGCUGUCACUCCAGUGGUCUGACUGCUGUGUUGAGCCCUGCUGAUGCACAGGGCUACCGGGAAAUUUCACGGUGAGAUGGUAUAACUUCAGCUCCUAAAUGGUCGCAUUGGCCUGGGGUGCACAGUGGCCGGGCGACCGGCAGGAGGGGAGAGCACAGUAUAGCACUCCCCUCUUGUCGGUUACUGCAUGUAGCAUGGCUGAGUGGACACAUGGGGAGCUGCUGGGGGGGGGGAUGAGUCACAUUGGGGACUGGGGGGGGGGGGGGGGACACAUAUUGGGCCCCAGGUCAAUUUGUGAACCAGGGCCCAGUGGUUUCUAGUUAUGCCUCUGGCACCAGAACUACUUCAUUCUACUGAAGUUUUUAUGGUGCUAUGACCAUGACAGAGUUUUCCUUUAACACCAGGACUCUGCAUGGCGUUCACAAGAGAAAGGCUACAUAUAACCUGGCUUCAUCCUUUUUGCUGAUAUCAGUAAUAUAAGCCCUUAUGCCUAUUUACAGUUUCACCUCUCAGGGUUAUUAGUGACAACUUCUAGGAAUUCAUGUAGUUUAGUCAAAGUGAUUCAAAUAUAAGGUCAGAGUGGCGGAACUUUAAGCAUAUCUGACUUGGAGAAUAUUUCCAGUUUGGUUACUUUGGCCUCAACUUUGAAGAUCACUUUGAAUUCCUGCCAAUGCUCACUUCAAUUAAUAAAUAACCCUGUAAGUGUGAAGAAUGAGAAGUAUUUUUCUAUGAUACAACGAUGUUGCUUAGUUGAACAACAGGGAAUUCUGGUGAAUUGAUUAGAAAACUAAAAAAAAAUUACAGCAAGGUAGUCCAUUAGGAAAAAUUUUUUUUAAUGUAUUCUCCAUUUGGGACUCUAUUACAGGAGAACUACCAAGAGACAAUGGUAGGCUUCUGAGACUCACAAAAAGGAGCAGUGAAUACAUGGGGUGAAUCACAUUCUAAAAAACAUUUCUAAGAUCCUCUUACUACACCACAUCCUGUCUCCAACCUUCCGUCCUAUCAAGAAAAGUAAUUGAAAAUGUGCAUUAAUAUGUGUAAUGAGAUGUGCAAUACAUUUUUUCCCUCUUCUGUCAAUGUUUGUUAAGUUACCUGAAACCGGAAUAUAAAAAAUUGGAAAUAUUCUU
rnacentral:lncRNA from 1 species